UACGUAGGGUGCAAGCGUUGUCCGGAAUUAUUGGGCGUAAAGAGCUCGUAGGCGGUUUGUCACGUCUGCUGUGAAAACUCGGGGCUUAACUCCGGGCCUGCAGUGGGUACGGGCAGACUAGAGUGCGGUAGGGGAGACUGGAAUUCCUGGUGUAGCGGUGAAAUGCGCAGAUAUCAGGAGGAACACCGGUGGCGAAGGCGGGGUCUCUGGGCCGUAACUGACGCUGAGGAGCGAAAGCGUGGGGAGCGAACAGG
rnacentral:rRNA from 1 species